rnacentral:lncRNA from 1 species
UGUUGCCGGGUGAGGUUCUUGCCAGUUAGCUCUCCUUCAAACCACCGAUGCCAUGGUCUGCAGACCUAGAAGCCCACCCUGUUAUGGGAGUCGCUGUGACGGCGGUGCAAGUCCGAAGUCCCCUAUGAGAUGGAGUCUCGGACAGAAGUGCAGAGCAGAUGGAAGGGACUGGAAGCCUGAGGACUCCAAGGAAGGCGAGCUCCAGACUGAGGACCAUCAACCUAGAAGCUUUACAACUCCUGAAGGCCAUAAGCCCCUUUCUAGAUGUUCUGACUGGGCAAGCGCAGUUGAAGAAGAUGACAUGAGGACCAGAGUUAACAAAGAGAUUGCAAGGUACAAAAGAAAGCUACUCAUAAAUGACUUUGGAAGACAGAGAAAAUCAUCAUCGAGAAGUUCUGAUUCAAAGAAGUCUGUGUCUUCGGUGCCUACUGACAUGGAGACAGAUGCAAGUGUCUUGAUGGAAGGCAGAAGCAGAUCAACUACAGGAAGAACACUAUGGCCUAUGAUCAAUACAUUAAAGAGAUGCCCAGACACCUGUGAUAUCCCAGGACCUCCAACAAAUUUAAGAAAUAUAGCCUGUGGUCAUGGGACCAACAGAUUAAACUCUGGAAGGUGGCUUUGCAUUUUUGGGAUCCUCCUGCUGAAGAAGGGUAUGAUUUGCAAGAAAUACAACAUGUAGAUCUUGGGGAAAUGGAGACAGAAUUCACAGAAAGCAGUUGUGAGUCCCAGACAAGUUCACAGAAUAACUUUGAUGUAUAUGCUGGCACACUCACCAAAGUCAGACAUGUGGAUUGCCAAGUGGAGGAUGAGUUUGAUUUGGAAGCUUAACUGAA